ensembl:snoRNA
ACGCACAGUGAACACCCGUGGGUGCUUAUGUAGCGCUUCUUGGUCUUGACCUGUGCUACAGUAAAGUGUGGUCUAUACCUCUGCAGUAGAAGAAGCUCUGUUCUUCCUACAUGUAUUCAUGAGGCCAGCACAAAA